rnacentral:sRNA from 1 species
AUUUUGUCAGCUUUCUUUCUCUCUCUAAAAUCCUUGUCCUAAAAUUCUCUCUACCUUCUCUCUAGAUUUUCUCUUUACUGAUCCGAUCAAAUUUUGAUUUGAAGGUGUUUCCGUGCUCGCUGCACCAAGGGCUUCAGUUUGAAUCGAACGUUUUUCCAUUCCGACCGGUGUUGUCAAACUCGCCUCUGUGAGGAGGUACUGCUAGAGCGUUCCUAGGAGUGGUACUGUUAAGCUUUCCAGAAAGUAUAUGAUUACAAAGUGAUGAAAGUAUGAUCCAAGUUGUAAAUCAAGUUCCAUCUGUGUAGGAUCUCUUGGUGAGAUCCUUAGUGUUUUAGAAUGAAAGUAGGAGCUCAGUCUUGGGGGUCAUUCUGAAACUCCAAUGGCUAAUCAUACUCAAGUAGAGGGAUUAAUCCAUAUGGUGAGGAGUAGCAGGAGGUCUUAGUCUUGGGGGCUUCCAGUAUGUCUCAAGGCCCGGAACAGGCUAACCUCGUGAGUGUGGCAGGGUGGGGAACCCAAGUUUCAUAAGUCACCACGAGUGCAGGACCCGCCAUAGCUCGACUAUCAUUCUAAAGUCCGGACGAGUCAAGUCUAGAAGGUAACAUGCUAGGAUGUAUGCCUUAAACUGCUUUGAUUUAAGUUAUCUCUUGUAUGUUAUGUGCUUGAUAUGAUGCAUGCUUUUAUAUAAUUAGCUCACCCUUGCUUGUUUGUGUGCUUGUUGUAUGUGUUUUCUUUUGCAAUGAUCAUCCACUUGGAUGUGAGCAGAGGAAGAUGAGAUUUAUUUGGAGGCAACAUUGGAGAGAAAUGAAGAUGAUGCUGCAGCUUAGACUCACUAGGAAUUCUUAGUUCUCUUAGUCAUUUUGAAGAACCUUGUUAUGUUUUAAGUUUCAAAUUCUGGACAUAUUUUGGAAUACUCUAGUACUUGAAGUUUUAAUUUCUUAAUAAAUUCUGGAAAACUGUAAUCC